UGCAGUCGAGCGCAGGAGCUAACCGAUCCCCUUCGGGGGUGACGUUAGUGGAAUGAGCGGCGGACGGGUGAGUAACACGUGGGCAACCUGCCUGUAAGACCGGAAUAACCCCGGGAAACCGGGGCUAAUGCCGGAUAACCUCUUCUCUCUCAUGAGGAAAGAGUAAAAGAUGGCCUUUGGCUAUCACUUACAGAUGGGCCCGCGGCGCAUUAGCUAGUUGGUGAGGUAACGGCUCACCAAGGCGACGAUGCGUAGCCGACCUGAGAGGGUGAUCGGCCACACUGGGACUGAGACACGGCCCAGACUCCUACGGGAGGCAGCAGUAGGGAAUCUUCCGCAAUGGACGAAAGUCUGACGGAGCAACGCCGCGUGAACGAUGAAGGUUUUCGGAUCGUAAAGUUCUGUUGUGAGGGAAGAACAAGUACCGUGCGAAUAGAGCGGUACCUUGACGGUACCUCACGAGAAAGCCCCGGCUAACUACGUGCCAGCAGCCGCGGUAAUACGUAGGGGGCAAGCGUUGUCCGGAAUUAUUGGGCGUAAAGCGCGCGCAGGCGGUUCCUUAAGUCUGAUGUGAAAGCCCACGGCUCAACCGUGGAGGGUCAUUGGAAACUGGGGAACUUGAGGACAGAAGAGGAGAGUGGAAUUCCACGUGUAGCGGUGAAAUGCGUAGAUAUGUGGAGGGA
rnacentral:rRNA from 1 species